GUUUUUUUUUUCCUUGCGGUGUGACUUUUUAUUUGCGUUGUCGCCUUUUCUUUACUUGCGUUGUGACCUUUUUUACUUGCGUUGUGACAUUUUUAUUUGGGUUGUGUCUUUUUUAUUUGCGUUGUGAGUUUUUUUCUUUUCGUUGUUAGUUUUUUUAUUUGCCUUGUGACUUUUUUUUGCGUUGAGAGUUUUUUAUUUGCGUUGUGAUUUUUUAUUUGCGUUGUUAGUUUUUAUAUUUGCUUUGUGACUUUUUUAUUUGCGUUGAGAGUUUUUUAUUUGCGUUGUGACUUUUUUAUUUUUGCGUUGUGAGUUUUUUUAUUUGCGUUGUGAUUAUUUUUGUUUGCGUUAUGACUUUUUACUUGCGUUGUGACUUUUUUAUUUGCGUUGUGACAUUUUUAUUUGCAUUGUGAGUAUUUUUUAAUUGCGUUGUGAGUUUUUUAUUUGCGUUGUUGGUUUUUUUAUUGGCGUUGUGUUUUUUUUGUUUGCGUUGGGACUUUUUCUUUUAGUGUUAGUUUUUUUUAAGCGAUGGCCCUUUUGGGCCACCGUAAAUAUCAAAACUUGUUAUUUACACUAUAAAACAACACAUACCUACUCUGAGAAGGGGCAACAAAA